UACAGAGACUGCAAGCGUUAUUCGGAUUCACUGGGCGUAAAGGGUGCGCAGGCGGCCAUGCGUGUCAGGUGUGAAAUCCCGGGGCUUAACCCCGGAAUUGCGCCUGAAACUACAUGGCUAGAGCAUUGGAGAGGGUAGCGGAAUUCACGGUGUAGCAGUGAAAUGCGUAGAUAUCGUGAGGAACACCAGAGGCGAAGGCGGCUACCUGGACAAUUGCUGACGCUCAGGCACGAAAGCGUGGGGAGCAAAAGGG
rnacentral:rRNA from 1 species